rnacentral:rRNA from 1 species
GUCUACGGCCAUACCACCCUGAACGUGCCCGAUCUCGUCUGAUUUCGGAAGCUAAGCAGGGUCGGGCCUGCAGAGUACGUGGAUGGGGGAAAUUCAGAGGGAGGAGCCCAAGGUC